rnacentral:rRNA from 1 species
UACGGAGGGUGCAAGCAUUAAUCGGAAUUAUUGGGUGUAAAGGGCGCGUAGGCGGUAAGAUUAGUCAGGUGUGAAAUCCCGAGGCUUAACCUCGGAACAGCACUUGAAACUGUCUUUCUAGAGGGUAGGCGGAGAAAACGGAAUUCCACAAGUAGCGGUGAAAUGCGUAGAUAUGUGGAAGAACACCAGUGGCGAAGGCGGUUUUCUAGCUUAUUCCUGACGCUGAUGCGCGAAAGCAAGGGGAGCAAACAGG